rnacentral:tRNA from 1 species
GCGGGUGUAGUUCAAUGGUAGAAUGUCAGCCUUCCAAGCUGAACACGGGGGUUCGAUUCCCCUCACCCGCUCCA